rnacentral:rRNA from 1 species
GAUCAUGGCUCAGGAUGAACGCUGGCGGCGUGCUUAACACAUGCAAGUCGAGCGAAGCAAUUUAAGUGAAGUUUUCGGAUGGAUCUUAGAUUGACUGAGCGGGCGGACGGGUGAGUAACGCGUGGAUAACCUGCCUCACACAGGGGGAUAACAGUUAGAAAUGACUGCUAAUACCGCAUAAGCGCACAGUACCGCAUGGUAUAGUGUGAAAAACUCCGGUGGU